UACGUAGGGUGCAAGCGUUGUCCGGAAUUAUUGGGCGUAAAGAGCUCGUAGGCGGCCUGUCGCGUCGACCGUGAAAACCCGCAGCUCAACUGCGGGCUUGCGGUCGAUACGGGCAGGCUGGAGUUCGGUAGGGGAGACUGGAAUUCCUGGUGUAGCGGUGAAAUGCGCAGAUAUCAGGAGGAACACCGGUGGCGAAGGCGGCCAUCUGGACCGCAACUGACGCUGAGGCGCGAAAGCGUGGGGAGCAAACAGG
rnacentral:rRNA from 1 species